UUGACUGGGGCGGUACACCUGUUAAACCGUAACGCAGGUAUCCUAAGGCGAGCUCAGGGAGGACAGAAACCUCCCGCGGAGCAGAAGGGCAAAAGCUUGCUUGAUCUUGAUUUUCAGUAUGAAUACAGACAGUGAAAGCGGGGCCUCACGAUCCUAGUUCAAGAUUAUUAUUUUAAUG